GCCUGGUUAGCUCAGUCGGUAGAGCGUGUGGCUUUUAAGACAAAUUGUCUGUAGAAACCUCAAAGUCACGGGUUCGAGCCCCGUAUCAGGCU